rnacentral:rRNA from 1 species
AGCUCCAAUAGGAUAUAUCAAAGUUGUUGCAGUUGAAAAGCUCGUAGUCGUAUUUCUGGUGGGUUGAUGUUCCGUGCCUCUGCUCGGCGCAAGCUGGGCGAGCGCGGGGCCGCCUGCCAUUUUGUGGGCCCACGUGGCCAUUCUGUGGUUCACUCCACGGGUUGGUCGCGCCACUCCGUCACUGAGAGCAAAUUGGAGUGCUCAAAGCAGGCUUUACAGCUUUGAACAUUUUAGCUUGGAAUGACAAAGGAUGACUUUUUGUUCACUUUGUUGGUUAUGAAUAGGAAGUAAUGAUAAAUAGGAACAGUUGCGGGGGUACUCGUACUGGAAAGUCAGAGGUGAAAUUCUUGGAUUUUUCCACGACGAACAACUGCGAAAGCAUUUAUCAAGGAUGUUUUCA